rnacentral:sRNA from 1 species
AUUGGGCCAUUGUACAUGGAGAUGAAAUGUGUUUUGUCUCUCGUACAUGGUCUAGACAUUG